GACGUAGGGCGCGAGCGUUGUCCGGAUUUAUUGGGCGUAAAGAGCCGUAGAGCGGCUUGUCGCGUCAACUGUGAAAACCCGUGGCUCAACCAUGUGGUCUGCAGUCGAUACGGGCAGGCUAGAAUUCGGUAGGGGAGACUGGAAUUCCUGGUGUAGCGGUGAAAUGCGCAGAUAUCAGGAGGAACACCGGUGGCGAAGGCGGGUCUCUGGGCCGAUAUUGACGCUGAGGAGCGAAAGCGUGGGGAGCGAACAGG
rnacentral:rRNA from 1 species